AGCGAACGCUGGCGGCAGGCCUAACACAUGCAAGUCGAACGGACCCUUCGGGGUUAGUGGCGGACGGGUGAGUAACACGUGGGAACGUGCCCUUUGGUUCGGAACAACUCAGGGAAACUUGAGCUAAUACCGAAUGUGCCCUUUGGGGGAAAGCUUUAUCGCCAUUGGAGCGGCCCGCGUCUGAUUAGCUAGUUGGUGGGGUAAUGGCCUACCAAGGCUACGAUCAGUAGCUGGUCUGAGAGGAUGAUCAUCCACAUUGGGACUGAGACACGGCCCAAACUACUACGGGAGGCAGCAGUGGGGAAUCUUGCGCAAUGGGCGAAAGCCUGACGCAGCCAUGCCGCGUGAAUGAUGAAGGUCUUAGGAUUGUAAACUCCUUUUAAGGGGGACGAAACAAAUGACGGUACCCCUUGAAUAAGCCACGGCUAACUACGUGCCAGCCGCCGCGGUAAUAC
rnacentral:rRNA from 1 species